UUGUAUUGGCCUCUCCAUUUCCCAUACUUCACCACACCAAACUGCCCUGUCCCCAGUUCCUUCAGGAAGGUCAGGUCCUUUGGGUCAAUCUCCCACGACCCUAGGACAGAGAGGGUGAGUGUGAUGAGGGUGCAGGUGCCCUUCCCGCAGGAUGCUCCCAGUCAUCUGGCCUGGCUGGUCCAAGAAGAGCUCACAAGCAUGUGCUGCCUGAAAGAACACGCUGAAAAGCCAUAAGCAUGCCUCAAAAACAUCACAGAAAAUUCAUGAAAUCCAAACCUAUUCUUCCAGAGGAUGGAGAGCAAAGUAGCUUGCAAAUCUCUUGAUAUGGGAUAUCGUAACCACGAGGCAGCGAGCCCCCGGAAACCCAGAGCUCUGAGUCACGCCGCACGCGCAGCUGGGUGCCCCAAAACUCACCGCUCUUCAGCUGAUGGAUCCAGCGUUUGCGCAGCUCCUCUGUCGGGGAGAAGACAUAGAGGGGCCCCUCAUCGUACACCACCUG